rnacentral:tRNA from 1 species
AAGAUUAAUAAAUAUAGACUUCUAAUCUAUUAAUAAUGAUUAUCAUUUAAUCUUU